GUCACCAGAGAUGCAUGAUACAGUAAUUCUGUUUACACGCCACAACACAUGAUUUUACAUUUGAUUAAAUUCCAAGAAAGGAAAACCUAUACCAUAAAAACAUCAAAAGCUCAAACCUUACACAGAACUCCUACCGGCUGCACUCUUCGAUAAAUUCAUCAAAACAGGCAAAAUGAUCAGCUCUAAUCAAGUUCUCUUAUAAACUGAAACAUCAGGGCAAGGAAAGUGUACGUAAUUCACUUAAUCUGAUAUGCUUCACCUACAAUAACCUCUUCACAUUCACAUCAUAAUAAUCCUAAGCGGCAAUUCCUCUAUUUGCUUGUCUAUUGGCAACACUAUAACCAUCAGUAUAACCAGCAGCAAUUUUAGUCACACCAUCUGUAGCUGCAUUUCCAAGCCCGAAACCAAAUGAGCCAGAACCCUCUAGCCCCAAAGGUGAAGAUCGCCAUGCAGAAUCCCCAUACAACAAGCCAUUAUCAUAAAUAUCUGCACAAGGUACAUCAUGAUCAUCAUGUGAUGCAGCAUGAGAUGAAACUAGCGCAGCACUUGUCCCACUGUUUCUUCCAUAUCCUACCCCUCCAAGACCAACAUUGAAAUCUCCCCAAUUGUAGCUAAGACUGCCUCUGCCAUAGGCAGAGCCAGUACCUCCACCUUGUCCAGAAUUAACCGAGGAUCCCCAGAGUCUGCCAAUACUGCCAAAAGAACCCAUUCCUGAAUUCCCAGUUCCAGAGCCCACAACAGUACUAGAAUUUGUGGAGUCUGAAGCAUGAUUAAUACUUCCAUUACUCCAUGAAGUUCGAGCAGUCGAACUUAAGGCAGAAGUAUUUCCACCAUUGACUCCAUUAUAUCCAAUAGGGCUACAAUACCUGCUGGAAUUUCCACUAUAUGAAGGGCUCAAUCUCCCAUAGCCGGUUAAUGUUUGAAUUUCCCCCAUAACUAGGACUCAACCCCGGCUCAAAAUUCAGCCUCAUCCCAGAACCAGGACCAAAUGGAGAAAAGUUACUCUGACCAACAGUAACAGGACUAAACCUACCAUCCAUUCUAACACCAAAUCCUCCAGCAGAACUUGUAUUGUAUUCCUGAGUCUGACUGUAACCAUUCAGGAAGCCACCAACUCUACUUGCACCAUAAUUAUACCCACUUAACUGGCUCCGAGUUGGCCCUGGUGAUAGUUCUUUAGGGACAGCCCGCUUGACCUCAACAAUUUUACCAUUGAGUUCAUGAAAGGUUUUGUGCAACACUUUAUCCACAGCUUCCUCUGAAUCGUAAGUAAUAAAUCCAAAACCUCUUGGCCUUAGAGUGUUGUGGUCAUACAUAACCACAACAUCUGUAAUUAUCCCAAACUGAUCAAAGUACUUCUUAAAGUCCGUCUCUGUGACUGUAGAUGCUAAACCUCCUACAAAUAUCUUCUUUGUACAAGCUGGACCAGGUGAACCAUGUAUGCUGCUGCCGCUGUUUCUAUUCAGAAUGUUUUGAUCCUCCCUAGGAACUGCCUUCUUUGCUUCAACAUUUCUACCGUCUAUGAGAUGCUUUUGCAUCACAACUCUUUCAGCAACAGAAGGGUCUGCAAAAACAACAAAUCCGAAGCCACGGGCACGACCAGUAGCCCGAUCCUUCAUUAUCACAGCCUCCACAACUUCACCAAAAGACUGAAAAUACUGUCUAAGACGGUCUUCAUUUGUGUCCCAUGAAAUCCCACCAAUGAAUAACUUUCCAAGCUCCAUUUCCAUUUCUCCUCAAAAGAAAUAAAACAAAGCUUGGAUAUUUACAGGUAUUUA
rnacentral:misc_RNA from 1 species